CCUACGGGAGGCAGCAGUGAGGAAUAUUGGUCAAUGGGCUUACGCCUGAACCAGCCAAGUCGCGUGAGGGAAGACUGCCCUAUGGGUUGUAAACCUCUUUUGUCAGGGAGCAAUUGGCGCUACGUGUAGCGUUAUCGAGAGUACCUGAAGAAAAAGCAUCGGCUAACUCCGUGCCAGCAGCCGCGGUAAUACGGAGGAUGCGAGCGUUAUCCGGAUUUAUUGGGUUUAAAGGGUGCGUAGGCGGAAUGCCAAGUCAGCGGUAAAAUCGCGGGGCUCAACCUCGCUCCGCCGUUGAAACUGGCGUUCUUGAGUGGGCGAGAAGUAUGCGGAAUGCGUGGUGUAGCGGUGAAAUGCAUAGAUAUUACACAGAACACCGAUUGCGAAGGCAGCUUGCUAGGCCGGAUCUGACACUGAUGCACGAAAGCGUGGGGAUCGAACAGGAUUAGAUACCCCAGUAGUC
rnacentral:rRNA from 1 species